rnacentral:rRNA from 1 species
GAGUUCACUGAACCUUCGGGGAACGUGAACGGCGUCGAGCGGCGGACGGGUGAGUAAUGCCUGGGAAAUUGCCCUGAUGUGGGGGAUAACCAUUGGAAACGAUGGCUAAUACCGCAUAAUAGCUUCGGCUCAAAGAGGGGGACCUUCGGGCCUCUCGCGUCAGGAUAUGCCCAGGUGGGAUUAGCUAGUUGGUGAGGUAAGGGCUCACCAAGGCAACGAUCCCUAGCUGGUCUGAGAGGAUGAUCAGCCACACUGGAACUGAGACACGGUCCAGACUCCUACGGGAGGCAGCAGUGGGGAAUAUUGCACAAUGGGCGCAAGCCUGAUGCAGCCAUGCCGCGUGUAUGAAGAAGGCCUUCGGGUUGUAAAGUACUUUCAGCAGUGAGGAAGGUAUCGUAGUUAAUAGCUGCGGUAUUUGACGUUAGCUGCAGAAGAAGCACCGGCUAACUCCGUGCCAGCAGCCGCGGUAAUACGGAGGGUGCGAGCGUUAAUCGGAAUUACUGGGCGUAAAGCGCAUGCAGGUGGUUUGUUAAGUCAGAUGUGAAAGCCCGGGGCUCAACCUCGGAA